GGUCCCAUGGCUCAGUGGAAGAGCGUUCCGUUCACACCGGAAAGGUCGCUGGUUCGAACCCAGCUGGGACCA
rnacentral:tRNA from 1 species